rnacentral:rRNA from 1 species
UCAUUAGCUUGCUUUUGAAGAUCAGCGGCGGACGGGUGAGUAACACGUGGGCAACCUGCCUGUAAGACUGGGAUAACUUCGGGAAACCGGAGCUAAUACCGGAUAAUCCUUUCCCUCACAUGAGGGAAAGCUGAAAGACGGUUUCGGCUGUCACUUACAGAUGGGCCCGCGGCGCAUUAGCUAGUUGGUGAGGUAACGGCUCACCAAGGCGACGAUGCGUAGCCGACCUGAGAGGGUGAUCGGCCACACUGGGACUGAGACACGGCCCAGACUCCUACGGGAGGCAGCAGUAGGGAAUCUUCCGCAAUGGACGAAAGUCUGACGGAGCAACGCCGCGUGAGCGAUGAAGGCCUUCGGGUCGUAAAGCUCUGUUGUCAGGGAAGAACAAGUAUCGGAGUAACUGCCGGUACCUUGACGGUACCUGACCAGAAAGCCACGGCUAACUACGUGCCAGCAGCCGCGGUAAUACGUAGGUGGCAAGCGUUGUCCGGAAUUAUUGGGCGUAAAGCGCGCGCAGGCGGUUCCUUAAGUCUGAUGUGAAAGCCCCCGGCUCAACCGGGGAGGGUCAUUGGAAACUGGGGAACUUGAGUGCAGAAGAGGAGAGCGGAAUUCCACGUGUAGCGGUGAAAUGCGUAGAGAUGUGGAGGAACACCAGUGGCGAAGGCGGCUCUCUGGUCUGUAACUGACGCUGAGGCGCGAAAGCGUGNNGAGCGAACAGGAUUAGAUACCCUGGUAGUCCACGCCGUAAACGAUGAGUGCUAAGUGUUAGAGGGUUUCCGCCCUUUAGUGCUGCAGCAAACGCAUUAAGCACUCCGCCUGGGGAGUACGGCCGCAAGGCUG